ACACUGUACGAGUUUGAUCAUGGCUCAGAACGAACGCUGGCGGCAGGCCUAACACAUGCAAGUCGAGCGAGAUCUUCGGAUCUAGCGGCGGACGGGUGAGUAACGCGUGGGAAUAUACCCUUUGGUACGGAAUAGUCCUGGGAAACUGGGGGUAAUACCGUAUGUGCUCUUCGGAGGAAAGAUUUAUCGCCAAAGGAUUAGCCCGCGUUGGAUUAGGUAGUUGGUGGGGUAAUGGCCUACCAAGCCGACGAUCCAUAGCUGGUUUGAGAGGAUGAUCAGCCACACUGGGACUGAGACACGGCCCAGACUCCUACGGGAGGCAGCAGUGGGGAAUCUUAGACAAUGGGCGCAAGCCUGAUCUAGCCAUGCCGCGUGAGCGAUGAAGGCCUUAGGGUUGUAAAGCUCUUUCAGUGGGGAAGAUAAUGACUGUACCCACAGAAGAAGCCCCGGCUAACUACGUG
rnacentral:rRNA from 1 species